rnacentral:misc_RNA from 1 species
CAAACCUCAAGCCUUGCUUGGUGAUGGGCCCCGCCCGCGCGGCGGGCCCGAAACUCGUGGGCGCCCCAGGCCGGACUCCAAGCGUAGCAAUACCCUCGCUUGCGGACGACCGGUCGGAGGCCGCCCCGGACCCCGAAAUUUUUUCAAU